GUGGCUCUCAUGCCCCUCUUCUCAUCUUUAUUAUUCCUUUGCCUUUGGCAGUAGAAUUUCAAGUGACUCUCUCAAAGUGAUUCUACAAUUUUCAGCCUUUCAUCUUCAAUCUUCUCAAAGUACUACUACAAUUUUGAGAACAUGUUUCAAAAUUGGAAAAACAAAUUCUUUGAGGUGAUACCAGUGAUGAUUAUUUGAGUUUGUGAUUGAACUUUCAGCUAGCCAUUUUACUGUUUAUGGGGUUACUAGCCUGAACCUUUGUGAUGUAUUCUAUUCUUUUUCGAGGCUUCUUGGAGAUUUGUGAGGUAGUUUUUUGUCAUCUCAGUAGACCUUCUUACUCAUGUUUAUGAUUUUGUUCUUCUCUAGAAACAAUGUCAUAUAAAACUUAUAGUUUCUUUCGAUUCAAUUACAAUACUUCAGAGGUUUGUACACGUGACAACCAAAUUUUGGGGGUAUAUUUGAGUUUAUUAUAGAAUUUUGCACAUUUUAUUGUAAUGGUUGAGUUUUAGUCAGCCUAAAACUUAAUUGUUACAAUAAAGUGCAGAAAUGUUAUAAUCAACUCAAAAAUACCCCCAAAAUUUGGUUGUCACGUGUAGAAGACUCUAAAGUAUUACAAUUAAUUUUAAAAAAAAGUCAAGUCUCAAAUGAACUUGUUUCUAGAAUAGAACAAGAUCAUAAUUAAGUAGAAAGAAAGUCUGCUAACAAGACAAACAACCACCCCAUAACACUUUGUUUGGAUCAUUGUUACCAAUUGUUUCAUAAUGUAUUGUAUUAUUUGUACUCUAUUGUACUGUAUUGUAUGGUAUAUACAAUGUU